UACGGAGGGUGCAAACGUUGCUCGGAAUCAUUUGGGCGUAAAGCGCACGUAGGCGGACCAUCAAGUCGGUUGUGAAAUCCCUCGGCUUAACCGAGGACGUGCAUUCGAAACUGAUGGCCUUGAGUACGAAAGAGGAUCGCGGAAUUCCCGGUGUAGAGGUGAAAUUCGUAGAUAUCGGGAGGAACACCAGUGGCGAAGGCGGCGAUCUGGGUCGAUACUGACGCUGAGGUGCGAAAGCGUGGGGAGCAAACAGG
rnacentral:rRNA from 1 species